ensembl:lncRNA
GUUUGUACAGAAGUCUGAUAGGAAAUAAUGAUAUGACAGAGCUCAGUGUUUGAAUGAAACCUGGCAACCCUUCCCACGUGCCCUUCACUCACCUGUCCUUUAAAGAUCUACAUAAGAGUGAAAGGUUUGCGUUAGUGUGACUUUGUUGUUGUUGUUGUUUUGUCCUGCAGGAUUAACAGCAAAUAGAAUAAAAUAAAAAAACCCUGAAUGUAUUCGUUUAGGACACAUUCUCGGUUCAAUCCAAACAACGUAUUCGUAUUCAGUUACGUCCCUUCUACAUACCUGAAAUUCAGUUGAGCUAUUUUAAUAAAUGAUGAAUUAUAUUAAUAGAACAGUAAAUUGUAAUCCAGAGGCUCUGUAACUUGAUGAAUGAAUGUGAGCAACUGUAAAGAAGCACAUUUAACGUGAAGACGCUUUUAAAAGGAACGAGAUAAAACGGUACGUCUUAUUGUACAUACAAAUGAACAUUUGGAACUCUUUUCUUUUUUUCCUUAAAAACUCGCGCUCUUUUCUACUGACGCAGAAGGAACGAAGUAGAGGUUUGAUACAGAAUGUGUAUAUGAGGUUGUGAUGUUAUGUGUGUUUUCUCUUUUUUCAGCCGUUCUCUGCUGUGAAGUGGCUCAUCAGUGAAAUGAUCCUGUAAGAAAAGCUAGUUUUGUGUAAAUUCGGCAGUUUUAUAUUUAGUGCUGGGUGAUUUUACUCCUGAGCGUGUGUGUGUGUGUGUGUGUGUGUGUGUGUGUGUGUGUUACAGAUUCCUGCUAGAGUUUAACUUCUACAGCUGGUGGAGUUUUGACUCGACUGUGAAAGCUGACAGAGUGAACAGGAGGGCGAUGCUGGUGCCGUGUGAUAUGGAGUAUCCGGUGUUUGUCUCAGAGCGCACGAUCAAAGAGACGGCCGGCAGCAUCGACUGUGACGGCUGUAUCAGGAGUGGGUCCAGGAGGACGGGCGCGAGGACGUAAAUAAAGAGGACGGGCGCGAGGACGUAAAUAAAGAGGACGGGCGCGAGGACGUAAUAAAGAGGACGGGCGCGAG